CAGGCCGCUGCAACUGUUUAUUAAAAACAUAGCACUCUGCAAACACGAAAGUGGACGUAUAGGGUGUGAUGCCUGCCCGGUGCUGGAAGGUUAAUUGAUGGGGUUAGCGUAAGCGAAGCUCUUGAUCGAAGCCCCAGUAAACGGCGGCCGUAACUAUAACGGUCCUAAGGUAGCGAAAUUCCUUGUCGGGUAAGUUCCGACCUGCACGAAUGGCAUAAUGAUGGCGGCGCUGUCUCCAGCAGAGGCUCAGUGAAAUCGAAAUCGCUGUGAAGAUGCAGUGUACCCGCGGCUAGACGGAAAGACCCCGUGAACCUUUACUGCAGCUUGACACUGAACUUUGACCUUACUUGUGUAGGAUAGGUGGGAGGCUUUGAAGCUGGAACGCUAGUUCCAGUGGAGCCGUCCUUGAAAUACCACCCUGGUAAUGUUGAGGUUCUAACUCUGUCCCGUGAUCCGGGACGAGGACCGUGUCUGGUGGGUAGUUUGACUGGGGCGGUCUCCUCCUAAAGAGUAACGGAGGAGUACGAAGGUGCGCUCAGCGUGGUCGGAAAUCACGCGUAGAGUAUAAAGGCAAAAGCGCGCUUAACUGCGAGACCCACAAGUCGAGCAGGUACGAAAGUAGGUCUUAGUGAUCCGGUGGUUCUGUAUGGAAGGGCCAUCGCUCAACGGAUAAAAGGUACUCUGGGGAUAACAGGCUGAUACCGCCCAAGAGUUCAUAUCGACGGCGGUGUUUGGCACCUCGAUGUCGGCUCAUCUCAUCCUGGGGCUGAAGCAGGUCCCAAGGGUAUGGCUGUUCGCCAUUUAAAGAGGUACGCGAGCUGGGUUUAGAACGUCGUGAGACAGUUCGGUCCCUAUCUACCGUGGGCGCUGGAAAUUUGAGAGGAUCUGCUCCUAGUACGAGAGGACCAGAGUGGACGAACCUCUGGUGUACCGGUUGUGACGCCAGUCGCAUCGCCGGGUAGCUAUGUUCGGAAGGGAUAACCGCUGAAAGCAUCUAAGCGGGAAGCCUACCUCAAGAUAAGAUUUCCCUAGGACUUUAUGUCCUCUAAAGAGCCGUUCGAGACUAGGACGUUGAUAGGUUGGAUGUGGAAGCAUAGUGAUAUGUGAAGCUGACCAAUACUAAUUGCUCGUGAGGCUUGACUAU
rnacentral:rRNA from 1 species